GUAAGAUAAUGACGAAUGUGGCAGCGAGAAAUGAUGGUUCUCCUGAUCUUCCUUUCUGUGGUAUCUUCUAAGGCAUCCCUGAUAUGUCUCUUUUGGUUCUUAAAUGAUUCUUGCUAUGAAUAGUUCAUCUCCUAAAUAUAUCUUAAUUGUGUUUGUCUCUAGGAGCGCGACAUCGUAACCCAGAUAAGUUCUUUCCAGAUUUAGAUAUUUAGCUCAACAUUAAAAUCGCAACUUCAUGAGAUUUUAAACCUGAAGGGAGAGCACUACGUAGCGUUCCUAUUUGAUAGCUCUCUUUGUCAUAUCUCAUUUGAUAGCUACAUCCAUGCCGGUGCUAAAUGCUUUUUACUUGUUUGCUCUGCUGAAAUUGAGCUGAACUACACUUCUACAACUUUGUAGCUAUAUGUGAGCCUCCCACUAAUUUUUUGACAGUUGCUUCGUUAGGUACACUCAUCAUUCAUGGUUUUUUAUUACAGUUUCUUAGCAUACAUGAUAUGCUUACCAACAGGUUCGUGGUACUACUGUCUUCAAACAUUUCAAAGCUUAAGACAUGGCAAACUGAUGAUUGGAAAACUUCAUGAUGCUAUCACCAAUUCAUUUUAAGCAUACAUGUAUAGCAGUUCUUAAUGCGGAUGAUUUAAGGUUCCAAACCUGCUGUUUGAUGUUGCUGGUAUUAUGUUUGGUCAAUGGUAUACCUUCUGGGAGUUCUUCUUUGCAACUUUGAUUGGGAAGACCAGCAUCAAGACUCUUAUUCAGGUGGAUGAAUCUUCCCAAGCCUAAGAGCUUGUUGGUACUCUGUUUGGAAGCUUCUUCCCAUGCUGAGAAGACCAUGGUGCUACUCCGACCAAGGAGAAUCAUUUAGGAAUGUAUUUUCUGACUGUUCAGCUUCGUUUGUCUUUUA